AGUGAACGCUGGCGGUAGGCCUAACACAUGCAAGUCGAACGGCAGCACAGUAAGAGCUUGCUCUUACGGGUGGCGAGUGGCGGACGGGUGAGGAAUACAUCGGAAUCUACUUUUUCGUGGGGGAUAACGUAGGGAAACUUACGCUAAUACCGCAUACGACCUACGGGUGAAAGCAGGGGAUCUUCGGACCUUGCGCGAUUGAAUGAGCCGAUGUCGGAUUAGCUAGUUGGCGGGGUAAAGGCCCACCAAGGCGACGAUCCGUAGCUGGUCUGAGAGGAUGAUCAGCCACCCUGGAACUGAGCCACGGUCCAGACUCCUACGGGAGGCAGCAGUGGGGAAUAUUGGACAAUGGGCGCAAGCCUGAUCCAGCCAUACCGCGUGGGUGAAGAAGGCCUUCGGGUUGUAAAGCCCUUUUGUUGGGAAAGAAAAGCAGCAGGUUAAUACCCCGCUGUUCUGACGGUACCCAAAGAAUAAGCACCGGCUAACUUCGUG
rnacentral:rRNA from 1 species